GCCCAGGUGGUGGAAAAGGUAUACACAAGGGACUUAAAAUCCCUCAGCUAAAUGCUAUACGAGUUCAAGUCUCGUCCUGGGUA
rnacentral:tRNA from 1 species